AACGAACGCUGGCGGCAUGCCUAACACAUGCAAGUCGAACGAGACCUUCGGGUCUAGUGGCGCACUGGUGGGUAACGCGUGGGAACCUGCCCUUAGGUUCGGAAUAACUCCCCGAAAGGGGUGCUAAUACCGGCUAAUGUCUUCGGACCAAAGGUUUAUCGCCUUUGGAUGGGCCCGCGUUGUAUUCGCUUGUUGUUAGGGUAAAAGCCUACCAAGGCUACGAUCCAUAGCUGGUCUGAGAGGAUGAUCAGCCACACUGGGACUGAGACACGGCCCAGAAUAUUACGGGAGGCAGCAGUGGGGAAUAUUGGAAAGUGGGGGAAAGCAAGAUGCAGCAAUGCCGCGUGAGUGAUGAAGGCCGUAGGGUAGUAAAGCACUUUUACCCGGGAUGAUAAUGACAGUACCGGGAGAAUAAGCUCCGGCUAACUUCGUG
rnacentral:rRNA from 1 species